AGCCUUCAGAGAAACUGAAAAACUUCUCCAGGGUCUUCCUGCUAAGCAAGGAUAUGAACACAGCCUUUAUGAUGCCACAUAAGCAGAAUUCUGGUGUAGCGAGAGAGCAUGAGAGUUCAGCAAGUCUCAAAGUGAGUACAGAAGAGUAUUUGCAUCUAAAAAUGACAACAUAGAAACAAAGGGCCACCUCCCCUUCUGUUCUGCUGUUGGUGGUGAAGCCUGGAGCAAUCAGCUAAUGGCUCACAGCAUGAAGCAAGCAGCCUUAAUGUCCUCUCUUCCCUCCUCACACAUCCUAGAAGCAGUACUUCAAGAAGUGAUCAGCAUUGUGUCACAUUUCUAGUUUCACUAUUUCUGUUUUUCCAUGAGUAUUAAAUUUCAAAAAAAAGUACAUUUUCUUUUCCAAAGUUUGAAAUUAAAAGGAUUGCUUUGAGAUUAUAUUUAAUCUGAGUACACAUUUUUCUCAUACAAAGUGUCAAGUAUCAUGUAGGUCAAAGAGAAAAUAUUUGAUCAUCCAUUAGUAAUUUUUCUAGAAUGGUAGGCAUUAAGACUACAACUCACUUGUUGAUUUUUUUCCCUGCAAAUAAGAAGUAUAGGAUUUUUGUUUGUUUUUUGAUUCUCUCUGCUGCACUGAUAACACUGUAGGUUUGAAUAUAAAUGCCUGUAACCUUUGACUACUUUUACUUAAAAGUCUAUUCUUUAUUCUAAGAUUGGUAUUCAAAAUUACUGAAAAAAUUCCACUUGAUCUCUUAUAAGUACGUUAAAAAAUUCAUCAAAUUUCAUUACAGUAAAAUGUUAAACCAAAAAAUAUGGCAUAGACCUUUACGGAAUACAUUUGUAUUCAAUCUCAUUAUAUUUUCAAUCAUUCUACAUUCAAAAACAAGUUUCCCUUCU
rnacentral:lncRNA from 1 species